rnacentral:rRNA from 1 species
GGUAUGACGGUACCCUUUCGAAUAAGAGGUUGCUAACUCUGUGCCAGCAGCAGCGGUAAUACAGAGACCUCGAGCGUUAUCCGGAUUUACUGGGCGUAAAGCGUCUGUAGGGGGUUUGUUAAGUUCCAAGUAAAAUCUUAAGGCUCAACUUUAAGUUCGCUUGGAAAACUAAUAAACUGGAGUCCAGCAGAGGUGCAUGGAACUUGCGGUGUAGGAGUGAAAUCCGUUGAUAUCGCAAGGAACACCAAAGGCGAAGGCAUUGCACUGGGCUGGUACUGACCCUGAGAGACGAAAGCGUGGGGAGCAAAACGGAUUAGAUACCCGUGUAGUCCACGCCGUAAACGAUGGAUACUAGAUGUUCGGGGAUUCGACCCCCUGGGUGUCACAGCUAACGCGUUAAGUAUCCCGCCUGGGAAGUACGGCCGCAAGGCUAAAACUCAAAGGAAUAGACGGGGAUCCGCACAAGCGGUGGAGCGUCUGGUUUAAUUUGAUAGUAAGCAAUGGACCUCACCAAGGUUUGACAUCCUAUGGCAACCCUGGAAACAGGGCUUCCUUCGGGCAUAGUGACAGGUGCUGCAUGGUCGUCGUCAGUUCGUGCCGUGAGGUGUUCCGUUAAGUCGGGAAACGAACGAAACCCUCGUCGCAUGUUACAAAUUUCAUGCGAGACUGCCCGGGUCAACCGGGAGGAAGGCGGGGAUGACGUCAGAUCAGCAUGGCCCUUAUACCUUGGGCUACACAGGCGCUACAAUGGCCGGUACAAAGGGUUGCAAAACCGCGAGGUGAAGCUAAUCCCAUAAAGCCGGUCCAAGUUCGGAUUGGAGGCUGCAACUCGCCUCCAUGAAGUUGGAAUCGCUAGUAAUCGUGGAUCAGCCAUACCACGGUGAUACGUUCCCGGAUCUUGUACUCACCGCCCGUCACACCAAGAGAGUUGGUAGC